rnacentral:rRNA from 1 species
GACGGAGGGUGCAAGCGUUGUUCGGAAUUACUGGGCGUAAAGGGCGCGUAGGCGGUCUGCUAAGUUCGGUGUGAAAUCCCCUGGCUCAACUGGGGAACUGCGCCGGAAACUGGCAGACUAGAGUACCGGAGAGGAGGGUGGAAUUCCUGGUGUAGCGGUGAAAUGCGUAGAUAUCAGGAGGAACACCGGUGGCGAAGGCGGCCAGCUAGACCAGUUCUGACACUGAGGCGCGAUAGCGUGGGGAGCAAACAGG